rnacentral:misc_RNA from 1 species
GAAAAAAUAGCUUUGUGAGGUGACACUUGCCCAUUUCCUCCGAAAUAGCAUCCGUAAAGACUACUAUUCUGAAAAAGGGAUGAUCUUGAAAACUUAUAUUUUCAUCAUUUUCACUACUCUUUUUCUUCACUGGGAAACCUCAGAAACUAAAUCUCGGGGCGAUAUUGGACAAGCCAGCUUGCCACCUAGGGGUUGGAACUCCUAUGACUCAUUUUGUUGGACCAUCACCGAGGAAGAGUUUCUUCAGAAUGCAGAACUUGUAGCACAACGAUUAAAACCUCAUGGUUAUGAGUAUGUUGUCGUGGACUUCCUUUGGUAUAGGAAGAAAACAAUAGGUGCUUAUACUGAUUCUUAUGGUUUUGAUGUCUUUGAUGAGUGGGGAAGGAUGGUUCCAGACCCUGGAAGAUGGCCAUCCUCUCAAGGUGGAAAAGGGUUUUCUCAAGUUGCGGGGAAGGUUCAUAGCAUGGGACUGAAAUUUGGGAUUCAUGUAAUGAGAGGUUUAAGUCUACAAGCAUUCAAUGCUAACACUCUCAUACUGGAUACCACUACGGGCAAAGCUUAUGAGGAGGCUGGUCGACAAUGGCGUGCACAAGAUAUUGGAAUUAAGGAGAGGACUUGUGCAUGGAUGAAAAAUGGUUUCAUGAGUGUGAAUACCAAGUUGGGAGCUGGAAGAGCAUUCCUUAGGUCACUCUAUCAACAAUAUGCUGAUUGGGGUGUUGAUUUUGUGAAACUUGACUGUGUAUUCGGUGAUGACUUGGAUUUAGAUGAGAUAAUCGUAGUUUCAGAGGUAUUGAAUGAGCUUAGCCGACCUAUCAUAUAUUCCUUGUCCCCUGGAACUAAUGCAAAACCAAUCAUAGCGAAGGAAGUUAGUGGAUUGGUCAAUAUGUAUCGAGUAACUGGGGAUGACUGGGAUACUUGGGAAGAUGUCGCUGCUCAUUUCAACGUUGCGAGGGACUUCACUGCUGCUAACUUAGUAGGAGU